UGCCUCACAUGAAAAAGCAAUUAACAUUUCAUUCUACAUCAGAAGUUUAAAUGUUGUCAUAAACUAGUUAAUUUUAAAAGUAAACAUGAACAAAAUUAACAUUUCAUUUUAAAAAUAAAAAUAAAAUUAUCCUAUUUUCCACUUCCUACUUCUCUUAGGAAUUCCAUCAAACAAGUAGUGGGCAUCACAAAUGAUCCAACUAUAAACACAAAUCAAUACAAAAAAUUCAAUCAUCUCCGGUCUCCAUAAUUUGAAUUAGACAUUCCCAAGUUUCACCAUUAUUUAGACCAAAUUAAUACCCAAUCAACAACAUACAAAUACACAUACCAAAACAUUAACUUAAAAUAACUAAUGCAUCUAAUAGAAAUUAAAUUACUUGUUCUUGUCUUGAAUCAGCUCUAUAGUUGAUCUUCCUCUUUGCAAAUGUUUCCAAGAAUCACACAAACAAAUGGGCUAUGGAGGAGAAGAGGGAGCGUUGGGCAGUGGGCUAUCGAGAUUAAAGAGUGCAGACCAUAGAAAGAUGGAGAGUGGCACAAAUGGGAUAGGAAUAACCCAAAA
rnacentral:misc_RNA from 1 species